AGAGUUUGAUCCUGGCUCAGGAUGAACGCUAGCGGCAGGCUUAAUACAUGCAAGUCGUGGGGCAGCACAGGUAGCAAUACUGGGUGGCGACCGGCAAACGGGUGCGGAACACGUACGCAACCUUCCUUUAAGCGGGGAAUAGCCCAGGGAAACUUGGAUUAAUACCCCAUAGCAUCUUCUGGUGGCAUCACUAGGAGAUU
rnacentral:rRNA from 1 species